rnacentral:rRNA from 1 species
AACGAACGCUGGCGGCAGGCCUAACACAUGCAAGUCGAGCGAGGACUUCGGUCCUAGCGGCGGACGGGUGAGUAACGCGUGGGAACGUGCCCUUUGCUUCGGAAUAGCCCUGGGAAACUGGGAGUAAUACCGGAUGAGCCCUUUGGGGGAAAGAUUUAUCGGCGAAGGAUCGGCCCGCGUUGGAUUAGGUAGUUGGUGGGGUAAUGGCCUACCAAGCCGACGAUCCAUAGCUGGUUUGAGAGGAUGAUCAGCCACACUGGGACUGAGACACGGCCCAGACUCCUACGGGAGGCAGCAGUGGGGAAUCAUAGACAAUGGGGGAAACCCUGAUCGAGCCAUGCCGCGUGAGCGAUGAAGGCCUUAGGGUUGUAAAGCUCUUUCAGCUGGGAAGAUAAUGACGGUACCAGCAGAAGAAGCCCCGGCUAACUCCGUG